rnacentral:rRNA from 1 species
AGAGUUUGAUCAUGGCUCAGGAUGAACGCUGGCGGCGUGCUUAACACAUGCAAGUCGAACGGAACUCUCUGGAUCGAGGCUUCGGCCAAGUGAAUUUGAGUUUAGUGGCGGACGGGUGAGUAACGCGUGAGGAACCUGCCUUUCAGAGGGGAAUAACAGUUGGAAACGACUGCUAAUACCGCAUAACGCAUAGAGGCCGCAUGACCUUUAUGCCAAAGAUUAUAUCGCUGAAAGAUGGCCUCGCGUCUGAUUAGCUGGUUGGCGGGGUAACGGCCCACCAAGGCGACGAUCAGUAGCCGGACUGAGAGGUUGGCCGGCCACAUUGGGACUGAGAUACGGCCCAGACUCCUACGGGAGGCAGCAGUGGGGAAUAUUGGGCAAUGGGCGCAAGCCUGACCCAGCAACGCCGCGUGAAGGAAGAAGGUCUUCGGAUUGUAAACUUCUUUUAACAGGGACGAUAAUGACGGUACCUGUUGAAUAAGCUCCGGCUAACUACGUGCCAGCAGCCGCGGUAAUACGUAGGGAGCGAGCGUUAUCCGGAUUUACUGGGUGUAAAGGGCGUGUAGGCGGGAUUGCAAGUCAGAUGUGAAAACUCCGGGCUCAACUUGGAGCGUGCAUUUGAAACUGUAGUUCUUGAGUGAUGGAGAGGCAAGCGGAAUUCCUAGUGUAGCGGUGAAAUGCGUAGAUAUUAGGAGGAACACCAGUGGCGAAGGCGGCUUGCUGGACAUUAACUGACGCUAAGGCGCGAAAGCGUGGGGAGCAAACAGGAUUAGAUACCCUGGUAGUCCACGCCGUAAACG